GACGAACGCUGGCGGCGUGCUUAACACAUGCAAGUCGAACGGUGACCCAGGGCUUGCCCUGGUGAUCAGUGGCGAACGGGUGAGUAACACGUGGGGCAACCUGCCCCUGACUUCGGGAUAACUCCUCGAAGAGGAGCUAAUACCGGAUACGACCACUUCGGACAUCCGAUGGUGGUGGAAGUUCUUCGGUCAGGGAUGGGCCCGCGGCCUAUCAGCUAGUUGGUGGGGUAAUGGCCUACCAAGGCGACGACGGGUAGCCGGCCUGAGAGGGCGACCGGCCACACUGGGACUGAGACACGGCCCAGACUCCUACGGGAGGCAGCAGUGGGGAAUAUUGCGCAAUGGGCGAAAGCCUGACGCAGCGACGCCGCGUGAGGGAUGAAGGCC
rnacentral:rRNA from 1 species